UGCCUUUCUCGUACACUAAGUGUACUGGAAAGGCUAUAUGUUCACUCCAAAAAUGACUUUUUGAUAGAAGGCUCGGAGGGUCGAGUCACAUAUACCAAUCGACUCAGCUCGACGAAUUGAGGUGAUGUCUGUGUGUGUGUAUGUGUGUAUGUGU